rnacentral:rRNA from 1 species
UGCAGUCGAACGAUGAACUCCCAGCUUGCUGGGGGGGAUUAGUGGCGAACGGGUGAGUAACACGUGAGUAACCUGCCCUGGACUCUGGGAUAACCCCGAGAAAUCGGAGCUAAUACCGGAUAGGACCUUUCCCCGCAUGGGGUUUGGUGGAAAGUUUUUCGGUCUGGGAUGGACUCGCGGCCUAUCAGCUUGUUGGUGAGGUAAUGGCUCACCAAGGCGUCGACGGGUAGCCGGCCUGAGAGGGUGACCGGCCACACUGGGACUGAGACACGGCCCAGACUCCUACGGGAGGCAGCAGUGGGGAAUAUUGCACAAUGGGCGCAAGCCUGAUGCAGCAACGCCGCGUGCGGGAUGACGGCCUUCGGGUUGUAAACCGCUUUUAGUAGGGAAGAAGGGCUUCGGCUUGACGGUACCUGCAGAAAAAGGACCGGCUAACUACGUGCCAGCAGCCGCGGUAAUACGUAGGGUCCGAGCGUUGUCCGGAAUUAUUGGGCGUAAAGAGCUCGUAGGCGGUUUGUCGCGUCUGCUGUGAAAACUGGAGGCUCAACCUCCAGCCUGCAGUGGGUACGGGCAGACUUGAGUGGUGUAGGGGAGACUGGAAUUCCUGGUGUAGCGGUGGAAUGCGCAGAUAUCAGGAGGAACACCGAUGGCGAAGGCAGGUCUCUGGGCACUUACUGACGCUGAGGAGCGAAAGCGUGGGGAGCGAACAGGAUUAGAUACCCUGGUAGUCCACGCCGUAAACGUUGGGCGCUAGAUGUGGGGACCUUUCCACGGUUUCCGUGUCGUAGCUAACGCAUUAAGCGCCCCGCCUGGGGAGUACGGGCCGCAAGGCUAAAACUCAAAAGGAAUUGACGGGGGGCCCGCACAAGCGGGCGGAGCAUGCCGGAUUAAUUUCGAUGCAACGCCGAAGAACCUUUACCAAAGCUUUGACAUAUUACGAAGAACGGGGCCAGA